rnacentral:lncRNA from 1 species
AUGGGUUUAUCAGGGGUUUCCGCUUUUGCUUCCUUUCUCAUUUUCUCUUGCUGCUGUGUUUUAAGAAGUGCCUUUCUCCUCCCACCAGGAUUCUGUGGACUCCCCCCCAGCCAUGUGGAACUGGACAUGGAUGAACCUGGAAACCAUCAUUCUCAGCAAACUGACACAAAAACAGAAAAUCAAACACCAUAUGUUGUCACUCAUAAGCGAGUGUUGAACAAUGAGAACACAUGGACACAGGGAGGGGAGUAUCACAC